CUUCAGUCAUUUAUAUUUGUUUUUGAAAGACAUAACAGAAUUGUUCUGGAGCGUCCAGAAUAUGGCUAUGCAACAUACUUCUUUGAGCUAGUGAACUCUUUACCUGUCGGAUGGCAAAUAAAACGCCUGGUAACAACAAUGAAGCUUAACCGCUGUAGCAGAGCCACCAUCAUCGAGAACAGAGCAUUUUUGGUUGGCGAAGAUUUAUCAGAGGGAGAAGCACGACUUAAGGAAUAUGGUUGAUACCAAAUAGCGGCUUUGGAUCAAUGCUUAACUAUUGCGACAGAGUUGUUCAUUACAAAAGUAAUGAGAGGGAUGGUACAGAGUUGAGGAAUAAGAUUGGGAAAUUGCUGAUGAAUGGCCGUAAAGGAGGAACCAUAGUGUUGAGUAAGUGAUAAG